CCUACGGGAGGCAGCAGUGGGGAAUAUUGGACAAUGGGCGAAAGCCUGAUCCAGCCAUGCCGCGUGUGUGAAGAAGGUCUUCGGAUUGUAAACCACUUUAAGUUGGGAGGAAGGGCAGUUUCCUGAUACGAAAUUGUUUUGACGUUACCGACAGGAUAAGCACCGGCUAACUCUGUGCCAGCGGCCGCGGUAAUACAGAGGGUGCAGGCGUUAAUCGGAAUUACUGGGCGUAAAGCGCGCGUAGGUGGUUUGUUACGUCGAAUGUGAAAUACCCAGGCUCAACCUGGGAACUGCAUCCAAAACUGGCAAGCUAGAGUAGGGCAGAGGGUGGUGGAAUUUCCUGUGUAGCGGUGAAAUGCGUAGAUAUAGGAAGGAACACCAGUGGCGAAGGCGAACACCUGGGCUCAUACUGACACUGAGGUGCGAAAGCGUGGGGAUCAAACAGGAUUAGAUACCCUGGUAGUCCACGCCGUAAACGAUGUCAACUAGCCGUUGGGAGUCUUGAACUCUUAGUGGCGCAGCUAACGCAUUAGGUUGACCGCCUGGGGAGUACGGCCGCAAGGUUAAAACUUAAAUGAAUUGACGG
rnacentral:rRNA from 1 species